ACGUGUCCCGUGGUACUGCCACGAAGGAGUCUUGUUACAUUCCAGGGUUAGGUUAUAAAGUCAUGCCUAGGAUAAAAAUUGAGUGUAAUCAAAACUCCUUUCAGACACCUUGAGGAAGGCGCCAUGUUGAAGACCAUUCUCGCAGGGUGCAGUGCGGCUGGUUCCUGCCUGUGCAGGAAUAGGUCACAGUUUCUUUCGCUGAGCACCAGGAGAAGUGGUUAGCCUGCAAAUAGGGCCGUGUUAUGCAAGCAACACUUAUUUGUAGGUGUUAGACUCACACUCAGGCGAGCAGUUCGCUUUUGAAGAGGCUCUUGGGAACUGAGACAGGCCAUGGGAGCAGCAGGGGCACAAGCUCACCUCUGGCCCUCCCGCCUGUCUGCUCAGGGAGCGGAGUGGCAGAUGGAAUGGCCCAAAUGACUUAAAACUGUUUUCCUUGACUUUUUUUUUUCCUAAUUUUUUCAGACAAAUACCAUAAUGUUUGCCUAAGUGAAAUAUGUAUGUAAUGCCAAAUCUCUGUACCCCCUCAAGCCAGCACACCGGUACACUGGAUCGCAGUUCCGUCUUCCUACUUUGUCUUCUUGUUAGACUGUGAGCUCCGUGAGAGCAGGGCCACAUCUGGCUUGGUCAUGGGCUUCCCCAGUCCGAGUGCCGUGCCUGGCACCUGGCAGAUCCCCUGUACACAUAGCUGGAUGUGUGAAUUCCCCAGCUGCUGGAGCAGCUCCAUUCUCUGAAGCCCCGGCAUCCUCUUACAGGCUAGUCCUCGUGGUUCUGCCUUGUACACACAACACUUUAUUUUCAUGUUUUGUUUUCCCUGCUAGCAGCCCCUGUGAGCAGGCUUCUUCAUGUUGUUAUCUCUGUUCUUCCUACCAGGCCAGUCCAGAGUAAAUGGUGCCUAAAAAGUGUUUGGCAAAUGAAUGAAUUGUGGGAACCCAACCCAGCUCUGGCACCUUUGUCUGCAGGCUAGUCUGCUUCUAGCGGAGACUACCACAUUCAAAAAAGAGGAAGGUUGUUCACAAGUGCAUAAAUCGCGCUUGCAUAAGAAAGAAUCUCAUUAAGUAGACCUCCAUGAAGUUCAAAUUUUGAUGAUCUGGCUAUAUCUGAGCUGAAGCUUACCUGGCUUUGUAAAGAAUUUGCUAGAGAGUCAUGUAGAUAAUCCAGAAUAUUUUUUAGAAAGCAUUCAUCUGCACCCAGGAGACCAAGAAAGGAAGCCUGCGGGUGGAUCAGAGGCCCCAAAGAGAGACUGCUGGGCCGAUUCUUAGCAUCUGAUCCAAUUGGUGAGGAAGUGACAGCAGCCCAAAGAAGACACAAAGAAACAACUCGUUCCUGGCAACAACUCUUUUGCCUAAAGUAGGCUUCCCACUGUCGCGCGGAGCAGUUUUAAAGUUACGGUGAAAUGCUAACAGGCAAUUUGGAUUAAAGUUAACAGCAAAUGACGGCUUCACAGGUUAAUUAAUUGCUGCACAAAUAAGUUGAUGUACAAGUAUUUGCUUUUAAAUCUUACACAAUAAGAAGUAAAUUAGAAGUCAAACCAUUUUUUUCUUUGAAGAACUAAAAGGACAGAAUGUCUUUGAUGAACUUGGGAACAGCAUACUGGCUUCAAGGCAGACUGUUGUUGUGUAGUCUGGCCAAUAAUAAUGUAGAACUUUUCUUACAUGUUUAUAAAAUAAAUCUUAG
rnacentral:lncRNA from 1 species